UUCGUUUUCGGUCGCAGGAAGAGCUCGCGGCCUAUCAGCUUCGUUCGGUGGGGUAAUAGGCCUACCAAGGCGUCGACGGGUAGCCGGCCUGAGAGGGUGGACGGCCACAUUGGGACUGAGAUACGGCCCAGACUCCUACGGGAGGCAGCAGUGGGGAAUAUUUGCACAAUGGGCGCAAGCCUGAUGCAGCGACGCCGCGUGGGGGAAGACGGCCUUCGGGUUUGUAAACUCCUUUUCGUUAGGGACGGAGGCCGCACCUGUUUUUGGGUGUGGUGACGGUACCUUUGUUAAGAAGCACCGGCUAACUACGUGCCAGCAGCCGCGGUAAUACGUAGGGUGCGAGCGUUGUCCGGAAUUACUGGGCGUAAAGAGCUCGUAGGUGGUUUGUUGCGUCGUCUGUGAAAUUCCGGGGCUUAACUUCGGGGUGGCAGGCGAUACGGGCAUAACUAGAGUGCUGUAGGGGAGACUGGAAUUCCUGGUGUAGCGGUGGAAUGCGCAGAUAUCAGGAGGAACACCGAUGGCGAAGGCAGGUCUCUGGGCAGUAACUGACGCUGAGGAGCGAAAGCAUGGGGAGCGAACAGGAUUAGAUACCCUGGUAGUCCAUGCUGUAAACGGUGGGCGUUAGGUGUGGGGACCGGUUUGGUUUCUGUGCCGUAGCUAACGCAUUAAGCGCCCCGCCUGGGGAGUACGGCCGCAAGGCUAAAACUCAAAGGAAUUGACGGGGGCCCGCACAAGCGGCGGAGCAUGUGGAUUAAUUCGAUGCAACGCGAAGAACCUUACCUGGGUUUGACAUGCACCAGACGGUUGUAGAGAUACGUACCUCCCUUUGUGGUUGGUGUGCAGGUGGUGCAUGGUUGUCGUCAGCUCGUGUCGUGAGAUGUUGGGUUAAGUCCCGCAACGAGCGCAACCCUUGUCUUAUGUUGCCAGCACUUUGGGUGGGGACUCAUGAGAGACUGCCGGGGUUAACUCGGAGGAAGGUGGGGAUGACGUCAAAUCAUCAUGCCCUUUAUGCCCAGGGCUUCACACAUGCUACAAUGGUUAGUACAACGCGCAGCAAACCUGUGAGGGUGAGCGAAUCGCUGAAAGCUAAUCUCAGUUCGGAUUGGGGUCUGCAACUCGACCCCAUGAAGUCGGAGUCGCUAGUAAUCGCAGAUCAGCAAUGCUGCGGUGAAUACGUUCCCGGGCCUUGUACACACCGCCCGUC
rnacentral:rRNA from 1 species